AAUCAACGCUGGCGGCGUGCCUCAGACAUGCAAGUCGAACGAUUAAAGCUCUCUUCGGAGAGUGCAUAGAGUGGCGCACGGGUGAGUAACACGUAAGUAAUCUACCUUCGAGUGGGGAAGUAACGUCCGGAAACGGACGCUAAUACCGCAUAAUGCAGCGGCAUCGCAAGAUGACAGUUGUUAAAGGAAGCAAUUCGCUUGAAGAGGAGCUUGCGGCAGAUU
rnacentral:rRNA from 1 species